CCUACGGGUGGCAGCAGUGGGGAAUAUUGGACAAUGGGCGAAAGCCUGAUCCAGCCAUGCCGCGUGUGUGAAGAAGGCCUUCGGGUUGUAAAGCACUUUCAGUGGGGAAGAAAGCCUUGGGGCUAAUACCCUCGAGGAAGGACAUCACCCACAGAAGAAGCACCGGCUAACUCCGUGCCAGCAGCCGCGGUAAUACGGAGGGUGCGAGCGUUAAUCGGAAUUACUGGGCGUAAAGCGCGCGUAGGCGGUCUGAUAAGCCGGUUGUGAAAGCCCCGGGCUCAACCUGGGAACGGCAUCCGGAACUGUCAGGCUAGAGUGCAGGAGAGGAAGGUAGAAUUCCCGGUGUAGCGGUGAAAUGCGUAGAGAUCGGGAGGAAUACCAGUGGCGAAGGCGGUCUUCUGGACUGACACUGACGCUGAGGUGCGAAAGCGUGGGUAGCAAACAGGAUUAGAUACCCCGGUAGUC
rnacentral:rRNA from 1 species